GAAAUGCGAUAAGUAAUGUGAAUUGCAGAAUUCAGUGAAUCAUCGAAUCUUUGAACGCACAUUGCGCCCGCCAGUAUUCUGGCGGGCAUGCCUGUUCGAGCGUCAUUUCAACCAUCAAGCCCCCGGCUUGUGUUGGGACCUGCGGCUGCCCGCAGGCCCUGAAAACCAGUGGCGGGCUCGCUGUCACACCGAGCGUAGUAGCAUACAUCUCGCUCAGGGCGUGCUGCGGGUUCCGGCCGUUAAAAGCCUUUUUUACCCAAGGUUGACCUCGGAUCAGGUAGGAAGACCCGCUGAACUUAAGC
rnacentral:misc_RNA from 1 species